rnacentral:rRNA from 1 species
AGUGAACGCUGGCGGCAGGCCUAACACAUGCAAGUCGAACGGCAGCACAGUGGAGCUUGCUCCAUGGGUGGCGAGUGGCGGACGGGUGAGGAAUACAUCGGAAUCUGCCCAGUCGUGGGGGAUAACAUAGGGAAACUUAUGCUAAUACCGCAUACGACCUACGGGUGAAAGCGGGGGAUCGCAAGACCUCGCGCGAUUGGAUGAGCCGAUGUCCGAUUAGCUAGUUGGCGGGGUAAUGGCCCACCAAGGCGACGAUCGGUAGCUGGUCUGAGAGGAUGAUCAGCCACACUGGAACUGAGACACGGUCCAGACUCCUACGGGAGGCAGCAGUGGGGAAUAUUGGACAAUGGGCGCAAGCCUGAUCCAGCCAUGCCGCGUGGGUGAAGAAGGCCUUCGGGUUGUAAAGCCCUUUUGUCCGGAAAGAAAAGCCUCGGAUUAAUACCCUGGGGUGAUGACGGUACCGGAAGAAUAAGCACCGGCUAACUUCGUGCCAGCAGCCGCGGUAAGAC